rnacentral:lncRNA from 1 species
UUCAAAGCAUGAAGGCUUGCUUUGCAAUGCCUUCGGCUUCCUUUAUUUAUAGAAUGAAAUCUUUACAAUCGUCACACAUUUUUUUAAAAUGCUAAAAAAAGAGCUACUAAUAAAAAGUCAAAAAGGCUACUACCUAGACCUAUAGCCUUUAAGAAAAUUCUACAAGUCUAUAAGUCUACAAGUCUACAUAUAGGAACUUACAAUAAUUACAAUUCUUUUAUGUAAAGACAAAAUCUAUACAAUGAUCAUAAAUAAUUCAAUAUCUUGUCUCCGUUGAUGUUGUUGUAUCUGCUAUAUCUCCAUUAUUGCUUCUUAUCUUAUCUUUCCAGCUGGCAUUUUGUCUUCUUUUAUUCUAGAUGUACUUCUAGAAUAAUGUUAUCUUCUCCAUUACAUCUUGAACAUUGGUGAUCUGGAUAUUUGUGUCCAAUCAUUUUACAAUACCUUGUCAGUAGUCCAUCUAAAAUAAAUCCUUUUUUGAUUGCUCUUGCGGUAGAUUAUUUUUCUGGGUUAAGUAAUGCCAUUAUCCAUUGUCUGACAUCUUCCAUAUCUGCUUGUCGUAGCUCUUUUGAAUUAGAGUAAAUCAUUUGAUGAUCUCUCGAAUAAUAGCUCCAUAUUGGGUUUCCAUUAGUAUAAUUAUUUGCUAGUUCUUGGAUAAUCGUAGCUAGUCCAAUAAGUCAUUUAUUUGCGUAGAAGUCCGGUAUCUCAAUUCUGGGUAUCUCCGAUUGCGGUGUAAUAUCUUCUGGUAUGAUCAUAUCUCUAGUUAGUCCUAUUUUUACAACUUGUAUAACUGUUAUUUGCUAGUUCUUGUAUGAUCGUAGCUAGUCCAAUAAGUCUUUUAUUUGCAUAAAAAUCUGGUAUCUCGAUUCUAGGUAUCUCUGGUUGUUGCGAAAUAUCUUCUGGUAUAAUCAUAUCUCUUGUCAGUCCUAUCUUUACAACCUGUAUCACUGGUUUUAUUUCAUCAUAUAAUAUCUCUGCUGGUGCAGUAUAACACUUUAUAUAAAAUAAAUUUCCUUUUUUUAUUCUUUUGUAGGUAGUGAAUAUCUUGUAUAAUUCCUCCAUAGCUGUUAGCUCUUCUCCGUCUUGGGUGUAUAUGGUAUUUAGUAGUCCAUAGUCAAAACAGGUUUUAACUAGGCUUGGGUUAGUUUUGGGUAGUGCUAUCAGUUUAUUGUAUCCUUGUAGUUUUUGGGUUAUAUAAUUGGUAUUUGGUUCUUGGAUAUUUGUAGCUCUGGGGUUAUGGUUUAGAAAGGUUUGGACUCUAUAUAUAUUUUCUAUGUAUUUUUGGGCUGUGUAGUUGUAUAUUUUCUUGUCUUGGUUUAGGCUGUCUCGGUAUGUGUUAACUUGUGGGGGUAUGAAUAAAUGGUCUUUUUGUGCUUUUGGGGUAAAUGGUUUUUCAAAUAUUUUGUUCAUAUUUACAUUCUGGUAUCUUGGUCUAUUAACUCCUUUGCUUGUACCUGCAGAAGUAGAUUGAUAAAUGUUAUGGGUUUUAUGGAGUGUCCCAACGUCUCCUUCUAGCUCUGGAUUUUUAAUGUCUUCCGGUCGACAUAGCUCUGCACACUGCUGAGUUAGCUGAUUUGUAGCUAUAGACUUCAGUUUAUCUUCAUUAGUCUUUAGCUUUUCUAUCUCAUUACCCAUACUGUCCACUUUCAUUGAAAGCGUAGUUAGGGUGUUAAGUAUUUUUUCUAGAGUAUCUUCCUCUACUAUUUCAGUCUGUGUAGCUUUGUCUUGAUAUGUAAUCUGCAAUAACAUUUUUGUUAGUACUGAUCACUUCAAUUGUAAAUGUGAAAUUUAAUAUAUUUAAAACUAGUCUUCGAAUCUCUUUUGUUGUAACUGAAUUUUGUAUUUUCUUUGUUAACCACCAGCGUACCUGUGUAUUAUCUGUUCGUACAAUAAAUUUGUUAUAUACAAUAUAUGGCUCAAAUGCUAAUAAACAUUUAUAUAAUGAACAUAAUUCUUUCCUAUUUAUUUCCCAUUUUAUUUCUGUCUCGUUGAACGUACCUGAGUAGUAUCUACAAUGGUGUUCUAUUUUUUCUGCUUCAUAUCGAUAUUUAAGUACUCCUCCGUAACUAUAUUCACUUGCAUCUGCUUCUACUAUAUAUAUAAAUUUUCUAUUUUCAUCUGGAAAUUGCAAUUUUGGUAAUUCUCUACAAAGUAAUUUUAUUUUUUGAACUUGUUUUUUAUCUUUUUCAUCAUAAUUAUAUUCUAUAUCCUUUUUUAAUUUUUUCUGCAGUGGUUUUAAGGUUUCUGCUAAUUUUGGAAUAUAUUCUCUUACUUGGUUUACUAAUCCUAAAAAUGAUUGUAAUUUCUUUUUUGUAUCUAAUUCUUCUUUCGAAUUUAUUAUUUUUUGUACUAUAUGUUGUUGCAUUUUUACUCCACUUUUAUCUAUUUGUAUUCCUAAAAAUUCUAUCUGGUUUUUCAUAAUUUCAGCUUUCUUUUUGCUUAGACUUAUUCCUGAUUUUUCUAUUAUAUCUGUGAAUUGUUCUAAUAAUUUUAAAUGUUCUUCUUUGGUUUUGGUGUAUAAUAAUAUAUCAUCUAUGUAUACUAUACAAUUAGAUAAUUGUUUAAAAUAAUUAUCCAUAAAAUGUUGAUAUCUACCUGGUGCAUUUUUAUAUCCAAAUGGUAACACGUUCCAUUCAUAAAAUCCUUGUGGUACCGUAAAUGCGGUUAAUUCUUUAGAUUCUUCUUCUAGCUUUAGGUGGUAAAAUCCUGAUUUACAAUCAAAUUUGCUAAAAUAAUUAUAUCCUUGGAUUUGUCUUAUUUUUAAUAUCUUAUUUGGUAUCGGAUAAUUAUAUGUUAUAGUUUUUGCAUUUAAAUUUCUAUAGUCAAUAACCAUCCUACUUUUUCCUCUUUUUUGUUCACUAUGUUUAUUUACUAUAAAUGCUGGACUAUUAUGUUUACUAUUACUUUUUUGUAUAUAUUGUUUUUCUAAUAAUUCAUCUAUGUGCAUUUUAAAUUCUUUUAAAUCAUCAAAAUUAUAUGUUAAUGGUUUUUGUGUUAUUAUGCUAUUCUUAUCUAUUAAUUCAAUUUUUAUAGUAGUUUUGUGUUUUUCCCAUCCUUUUAAUGGAUCUUCACUAUAUAAUUGUUCUAAUUUUUUCUGAAUUAUUUCUAUUUUAUUUAUUGAAAAUAUAGUUAUUUCUGUUUUAUUUAUCGAAAAUACUACUAGUUCUACUGUAUCUUCAGUAUUGUUUAUAUUUUCUAACUUUUGUGUAAUUUUUUCACUUCCUUUUAUCCAAUCAGUUUUCUUUCUUAUUUUAUUAUUAACUCUUUUUGCUCUUACUUUUUGUUUGCAUGGUGUUGUAAACCACCAGUCUGUUUUGGUUAUUAUAUGUGGGUAUAAUUUAUCUAAAAAUGGCAUUCCUAAAAGUAUAUCUUUUGAUGUUAAUUCAUAAUUAUAAAUUUCUUCUAUUGUUAAUAUCUUAUCCCAUACUUGUAUUUUUACAUUCCUAGCUUUAUAAGUAAUUAAGCUUCCUUCAUUAUUAAAUCCUUUAACUAUUAUUGGUGUUUUUAGUUUAUCCCAUUUGCUUUCUGGUAAGCAAUUAUAUCUACAUAAAUUAGCUUCUGCUCCUGUAUCUAUCAUAGGCGUAUAAUAUCUACUGUAAUAUCCUUCUACUACUAUCUUCAUUAAUACAUGUAUCUUCAUUUCAUGUUAAGGCUCUUUUUAAGAAUAACUUUUCUUGGUUAUAUGUUAAGGUUAAUUGUGUAUGUUCUAUAUUAUAUGGUUUUACUUGUUCUAACCAUUUUAUUCCUAAUAUUAUAUCUGCUUUUUGCAUUUCUUCCUUUACUUCGAAUUCUAUUUUUAUUUUUCUAACUCCUAACAUUAUUUCUUUUUCUGCUAUAUUUUUAUUAUUUAUUAAACUUCUUGGUAGAUCUGGGCAUAUAUCAUUGUCAGUUUUUAUUUCUUCAUUUUUUACUAGAUAUUUUGCUAUAUGAUUUUCUUCUUGUCCUGUAUUCAAAAGUAUUAAAUAUUCUUUUUCAUUUAUUUUUCCCGUUAUGUAAUAUUGGUUUAAAUUACUUAUUGAGUUUGUUUCAUAACUUGUUCUUUUUGAUGAGCUUGAUGAUUCUGGCUUUUCAUUAGCUAUUCUUUUCGUUGUACUUAUUCUAUCAUUUACUAUUUCUAAAUUUUCUUCUGUAUCUAUGUCUCUAUAGGUAUAAUCAUUAUAAUCUAUUGUUUUUACUAUUUGUUCGAAUGGGCUUUCUAUUUGUAUUUUGUUAAUCUUAUUUUUUCCUGUUAUUUUAUGUUUUGUUGUUAAUACAUAUAGAUUUUUACAUCUUGCUGUAAAUAUUUUACUUCCUGGGGUUAACUCUAUUCCUGAUAUUUUCCAAUAUAAUACUAAUGAUUUAUCUAUAUUCCUAUCUGUUACUGCUACUGAAUAAUUUGCACUUAUUAUAAAUUUAAAUUUUUGGUAUAUUAGAUUUCCUUUUACGGCAGUUAUUAUGCUUUUUUCUAUAGGUUUUAUAAUUCUAUCGUCUGCUAAAUAUAAUUCUAUUGGUGUAUCUAUUCCUUCUCUAAAACAUGCUUUUAUUAAUAUCUCUGUACCUCCAAGGUGUACAUAUUUUAUUGGAUCUCCUUUACUUUUUAUAUCAUUUAUUUCUUUAUUAAUUAUUCUUUUUGUUACUAGUGGUAUACUAGCUUUUCCUUUUGCAUAUCUGCAAUCUAUUACAUGUUCUUUUUGGCAUACUACAUAAUAUUCAUCUUUUUUCCUAGUAAAAAUAUUUUUUAUUGUUGGUAUUUUAAAUAUUUUGUCUACACUUAAAUCUAAUUCUUUUCCUUUUAUUUCAUCAAAUAUAUUACUGUCAAAUAUUAUUUUUUGUUCCGUUCCUUCAUCAUUUAAAUAUUCUUCCUUUGUUAUUAUUUUUAUAUCUUCUUCAGUCAUUUGAUUCAUCUAUUUCGCUAUCUAUUUCAUUAUCUGUUUCGUUUUCUGAAAUUUCAUAUAUACUAUCUUCACUUUCUAAUUCAUAAUCUAUAUAAUCUAUCUGCAUGUAUUCGGUAUUUUCUAUUUUUAUUUCUGAUAUUUGUUUAUUUUUUGGAUUUUUAGGUAAUUUACAAUCUCUAGCUAAAUGUCCUAACUUUCCACAAUUAUAACAAGUACAUUCUUUUAUAGAUUUCUUUUUUCUAUAUGGUCUUUUAUGUUUAUAAUUUUUUACAUAGUAUCUUUUUCUUGGUUUUUUAUAUUUAUAUUUUGAUUUUUUAUAUUUCUUAUAUUUCUUAUGUCUUUUUCUUUUCUUAUAAUAUCUUUCUUCGCAUCCAAAUUGGGGUGCUAUUUUAUUUUUGCAACAAGCUAAAUUUCUUAUUAAUGUUUUUUCCAUUUUUAAUUCUUCUCUAUAUUUUUCACAUAAGUUUCUAUACCAUUGUUGUAAAUAUUUUAUUCUUGCUCCUAACGUAUCUACUAUUUUUGCUUCUUCCCAACUUUUUAUUAUUUUCGAACUAAAUGGCUCGGGUAAUUUAUUAAAAUAUAAUUUUCUUAUUUCUUUACUUUCUUCUAUACUAUAUGCUCCUUUGUAAUAAUAUUCUUUAAAUGCGCAAGUAUAUUCAUCUAUAUAACACAUAUUACAUAUUGCUAAUUUUAACAUUAAAUUUCUAUUUGUAUCUUUUUCUUCAUUUUGUUCUUCUUCGAUUGUUGUCGUACUACCAAAUUCAUCUUUUAUAGCUGUUUCAUAUUUUUUUAAUAAUUCUAUAGGUGUUAGUUUAGUUGUUGUCGAUGAUGUUCCUUCUAUAGGUUUAUUAGUUCUUAAUACUUUUUUGCUAUUUUCGGUUAGAUUUGCAAACCAUAGUUUUACUGAUCCUAUUAGUGUUUUUUCUAUAUAUUCCGGUGCAUCUGUUAUAUUUAUAUUAUUAUCUAAUAAUUGUUUUGUCAUAUAUCCUAUCCAUAAUUGUAUUGUUUUUUCUGUAUCUAUUACACAGUCUAGAUCUAAAAAGUUAUAAUUUUUAUUCACUAUUUGUUUUGGUAUCCAUUUAUCAUAUUCAUUAUAUUUUUUAAACUUAUUCUUAUAAUAUAUGGGUUUUCUUAUUUCUGUUGUUUUAGGUAUUAUAUUUUCAUUUUCUUUUUUAUCAAGAGUAUUUAUUUCUGUGUGGGUAUUUUCUAAGUUUUCCUCAUUAAUUUUUUGUUCUUCAUUGAUUUCUAAAUUUUUUGUAUUUGUUAAUAUUUCUGUGUAUGUUUCACUAUCUUCGGACUCAUAAUUAUCUGUCUCUUCAAUAUCUAUAUUAUUUAUUUCUAAUUCUUCGUUUUUUAUUUCUAAUUUUUCCUUAAAUUGAUUUAUCUCAUUUAGUAAUUUUUGUUCUCUAUCUUUUUCUUCUUUUUCUUUUUGUCUUUGUUCAUACAGUUCUUUUAACAUUUGUAAUUCUUUUUCUAAUUCAGCAAUUCUACUAUUUUUGGUUUCUUCUAUUUUUCGUAUUUCUUCCGUAGUUUGUUGUUUUAUUUUUUCUAUUUCUUUUUUCCUAUCUAUCUCUUCAUUUUCUUUUUCUAUUCUUACCAUUGCUGUUAAUUUAUCUUCUAAUUUUAAUUCUUCUUUUUCUAACAUUAGAUAUAAAUGUUCACCUAUUUUCUUAUAUCUUCUUCCUAGAUUAGAAAAUACUAUUUUUAUUUUUGAUCCUUCGUGGUUUUCAUAUAUUUUUUCAUCUAUUAUAAAUUCUUCUUUGUUCAUUUUAUUGUGAAUAGUUCAUGUUGAUAUAUAUAUUCUAAACUAUCUAUUUGUGAUUCUAAUUUUGAUAUUUCAUCUUUUUGUGUAUCUAUUGAGUUUUUACUAACUCCGACAAAUAUAUUAUAAUGUAGUCUUUCUAUUCUUAUUUUUAAUUCUUUNNNNNNNNNNNNNNNNNNNNNNNNNNNNNNNNNNNNNNNNNNNNNNNNNNNNNNNNNNNNNNNNNNNNNNNNNNNNNNNNNNNNNNNNNNNNAUUUUAUCAUAAUUAGGUGGUAUGUGUUUCAUUCUUCUAGAUUUUAAAUGGAUUAUUAAUUUUGAUUCAAUACUAGAUAUUAAUGUAAUUAAGUAGACUAAUCUUUGUGGGUUUUCUUUUGCUUUAUUUAGACUUAUAUAUUCUGAAUAAUUACUAAUUAAAGAUUCUUUAAUUUUUCUAAAAGCUUCUCUAUUUUUAAAUGGUCUUCGCAUGGUUAAUUUAAUAAUUUAUAGGUAAAUUCUAAUAACUUUAACAUAUAUCUCACUUCCGUAUUUUUUGAAUUACUGGGCUCUGAUACCAAUUGUAGGGGGUGCGGAUACCUAACGUAUGAAAUAGAUUUACUAGAACCAAAUUUGUCAUUCUAGAUGUGAUGGCACACUCGAAUUUUUCAUUCGAUAUUGUUACGAUCAAAUAUGGAUCCCACACCAUAUUUCUAAUUUCUCAACUUUUUAGCAAUAUGUCAAAAUGAGCUCGGGAGCCUAGCGACCAGAACCAAUGGUCCACCUAAUCUGAGAUGAGUAUUCCAAAGCUCGUUGCAUAGUCAGAAUUUGAAUACGAGAUUUUUUUACUAAAGUUUUAGCUUAGUGGCUAUUUAGAACUUGUAAAGACUUCUAAAUAUGGGACUAGCUCUAAAAUCUAAACUAACUACCCGAUAAUCGAACUGUCAGUCCUAGUAUGUAAUAAAUAACUUAGGGUAGAUAUGAAAAAGCUUAAAGGCAAAAAUAUGAAAAAUGACCUGAAAGGUCAUUACAUUCUUGGAGUAGGUUUUCCCUUUUUCCUUCUAUUAUUUAUGUCUAGUCUUUCACUAGUUGAGAUGAAUUUGAAUUUUACUAUUUCAGUAGUCAUAUUCCUUUUGUUAGUAGCCCUUGUACCGACACUAUGAAGUCGUGGAAUGGUUAUUGAUGUUUUAUUUAUCUUUUGGAUUACUAUUCUUGCCUUAUUAUUAUUGUAAGUCAUUACUUGUAAGUGUUUGGAUUUUAUGAAUUUUUUCACCUAGAUUAUUCCAUUGUUUCUAGAUCUGGGCUACAAUUUAGCUUACAUAAUAGUUGGAAAAGUAGAUUCCAUCAUGACUCGUAAACUGGGUAAUGAUAAAAUUAUUGAAGUAUUACCAUGUCAGUGUACCUGGAGAGUCUAUGGUCUAGUCUUAAUAUUUCAAGGAUCUCAAAUGAUGAUCGAGUGAUGCCAUGCCAUGAUUAUAACUAAGUCCCUUCUUAAGAGCCAACCCAAGGUUUAUUCUUGUUUUUUUCUAGUGUUUUGUAUACUAAUUGUAUCUUGUUUUGGAUGUUUACAGGUAAUAUCACAUGUUUUAUACCUGCGUUGACAUGUGUCACACAGGUGGGCUAAAUUUUGAGCCAAAAAACUGGUAGUUACUACAUUGACCAAUGUGGGAUUUGCUUGAGCCAAAAGUUGGGUCUUUAAAAAUGGUCACAUUUUUAUUUGGUUUACCCGACACUGAAAUCUAAAAUUAACUUUAAAUAACAUAAUAAGAAAAAAUCUUCCCAUACUUGGAAAAUUUUCAUCCAUCUUUACCUCUAGGAAGAUUUUCACACUUAAAAACUCCGCAUUUUCUCUUUAUUCACAUUUUCAAACUCCUUCAACCUAAAUUCAAAGUACUCACUUCGUAACUCAAGAAUUCAACUCCGAAUCAUUACAUUGGGCUUCUCUCUCAUCUCUUAUGUGAAUUUAAAAGGUAUGGUCUUUGGUGAUAUUUUCUUUGAAAUCUCUUUAAAUUGUAAAUGUUUUUUCAUAUUUCAGGGAGCUUUUUUCAUUAAAUUGGAAUUAUUUGAGCUUAUUUUGGUGAAUUGUGAUGGUUGGACUGAAGAUUAUGGCAUGGGUUCUUGUUUUACACUCUUAAUUGGUAAUUCAUGCAUACUUAAACUAGUGCACACCAUGUGUUUGAUGAAAUGGCCACUUGAAUUUUGUUUGUUGAGUUGAGUGGUGUGGGGUCUAAUUAGGUUAGUAUGAGAACCAUGGAUGUACUUUGGCGAUGAAAUGUCAAAUUGAAAUUGCUUACAAGUGCUUUUAUUUUACUUUUAAAAGCUCUCAUUUUUCAUCUACACCAUAUGUUUGCUAAAAUGCCAAUGAGAGAGUGUUGACUUGACUUUUACUAAUGGUUAAUGAAUUCAUUUAUGGAGUAUAAUUUGACCAUUUUUAAAUCAUCAGUAUGAGUCCAGUUGCACCAUAAUGGUUGAAAAAGGGUAGUUUCUUACUGAAUUUGUUUGUUAAUAAAAGUUGUUUCCAUGGCUUUGGUUGGUAAAUGUGCUUGACAUAGAAUCCACGGGUGAAGUCUAAGUAACCCGGGAGUCAUGAUUGCUUGCCUUACCAAAUGAAAGAUUAGGUUAAUCCGUUCAUAAGGGUAUGAUGCUAUUUUAGGAAAAUUGGUAAAAUAUGAAGAUUAUAUGGCAAUGUAGAGUCUAAAUUUUUUAAUGUUGUGAUGAAAUAGUCCAAUGAGUUUACUUGCGAUGUUACCAUGCAUUGACCUUUAUAUUUCUUUAGCUUUAUUUUCUUUCUUGAUAUAUGAAAAUCCUAAAAUUGUGUCUCAUCUUUUUCAUUUAUUUAGGUUUUGUUCUUUUAUUAUUCGUAGGUAUAUCUCCAAGAAAGAAUUUUCAGUGAGGUUCUAUGAAUGAAAAUACUCUAGAAAAGGGCAAGGCAAAAUCAAUAAGCAAAAUUGGCAAAGAAUCGUCCUCUAAAGUGAUCCAACAAUGCCAAAAAGUGUGGACCAUUGUAGAACGUACAAAGUUAAUGGCAUCGAGGUAGAUCAAAUCUAUUUUGGAGUAGAGGCUGCAAGAGACCUUUAUGAUGAUUGGGUAAAAAGUUGGGGCAUUAAUCUUGUCAAGAUAUUUAAUAAGAAGAGAUCUGAAGAACAUUGUCCUAAAAUAAUUGAUGGAAUAAAAGAUUUGAUUUCACAUGUCUUCAAAGAUUUGGUCUCCAUUCCUCAUCCUUCACUCUACUUUCAAGAACUUGUCUAGGAAUUUUAUGCCUCUUAUUUUGUAUGGAACAAUGAAUGAUUGUACAGGCUUCUAAUUUCCAAAGAAUCAUGUCUCUCUAGUAUACUAGUUUAAUUCAGUGAACUCCCUUGGACGACCUAAGAUAUUAAUGAGAUAUAUAUUGCUUCUGAGAUAGAAUCUAAGGUGGAAUGCAAGAAGAGAGAUUUUUGUGGUCAUGAAUGUUUCCAUUCACUUUCCUGUAUGGUUUUAAAGGGCUUUCUAUAUAGGAAAAUGGUAUUCUUCAUACCAAAAUGCGGGAAAUUUUUGUUGAAGCCAAUCAUUGGCUUUGAUUUUUUCAUAACUGCCUACUUCUUUCAAGGAAUGAUAAAGAUAUCACAGUAAAUAGGGCUAUCAUUUUUGGGUACAUAAUGGAUAAUAUUGUGGUAAUUUUGGGAGAAUUGAUAGAAGAUAUGAUAAAGUUGAGAUCAAAGAAUCUGGGAACGUUUUUGCCUAUUACUUAAGUAAUUAUAAUGCUUCACCUUAAAUACAAAGUCACUUUCUACUCAAAUAUUUAUCAGAGAGUUAUUUGUAGGGGGGUGCGCGGAUUUGUAGGUAUAAUAGAUUUUGUACAUAUUUGUAGGGAAUCUAUUUUUAUUUAGUGCGUGGAUGUUAUCUUUUAAUAAUUUACUUUUUUCGUAAGAUAUAUUCAUUAAUUAUUUUAUCCUGUAGUAAUUACAGAGUUACAAAUUCUUGUAUAAUAAUUUAUCCUAUCUGUGCUAUAAUAUAUAUCUAAUUCUAGAUUUUCAAUGUUAUUUAUUAUUUUGUGUUGUUCUUCUCGUAGUGAGUUUUUUAAAUUAUAUAAACUAUCACAUGUACUUUUAUCUAAAUUUUCUAAGGUUUUUUCUAUCCAUACUAAUUUUUCUUUUAGGUCUUUCAUUAUUUGUCUAAUUCGGUUUCUAUAAUUAAUUUCAUUAUUUAGAUUUUCUUGAUUUUCUCUAGUUUGUCUAAUAUAUUCUAACAUAUCUUAAUCUGAAUAAUAUCCUUCUGGGUAAAUUUCUUCGUAUAACUGUUCUAGGUAAUUUAUAGUUUCAGUUUCGUAAUCUAUUACUUUUUCUAAUAUUAUUUUCUUAAUAUCUAUAAUUUCUAUGUUUUUAAGUAUAUAUAAUAUUAAAAUUUUAAGAUAAUCUAAAUGAUCUAUUUUUAAAAUUGUUUUGUAGCUGUUUGUUUUAGUCUUAGUAGUUUUUGCAUAUUUUUAUUAAGAAAUUUUAUAUCUUUGUUUUCCAUGUAUUUAUCUAUAUUUAUUUUUAUCUGUUUUUCUAGUAACUGCGUAUUUUUUAUAUCUUUUUCUAAAAAUCUUAUGUAACUUAUCAUCGUAAAUAUUUGUAAGAGUAGUUAGGUAGAUAUGGUAUAUAACUUACUCUAGUCAUAUAAUAUUCACCAAAAGCUUUUUCUAAUAUGAUUUUUCUUAUAUCUGCUACUUUUAUAUUUCUAAGUGCAUACAAAAUAAGUAUCUUGAAUUUAUCUACCAUCACAUCAGAUAUAUUAUCAUUCAUUUUUCAUAAAUUUGCUUUUUUCAAAAUAUUCCCUUCAAUCACGUACACAACAAAAUAUGGUCAUAUUGGCUUACUAUAUACUAGAGUAUUCUUAAAUAAUAUGUUCUUCCGUCACUAUUAACAUGGUAAUCCGGAUACUUUUUCCCUUAAACAGCGCCUCUACUCUGGUUACUCCCCGCCACGGCUUCUUGCCUCAAUGGUUUCACCUUUAGGAUGGCAUAGUCCUUAGGGAUAUUUCUCCGUUUCCUCUUUGUUAAUAAACUUCUUAACAUAUUAUUCUUCGAAUAAUUCUACUAUAAAGUAACUAAUAUGAAUUUAUUUUAUCAUAUCAUGAUUGUUGGGAAUUAUGAAAUUAGCUAUUCAUAAUUAUAAAUAGAUAUACCUGUUCCGGUAGCUUUGAUGUUUCUGAGUUUUGUUGUUCCUGUUGUUCCAUAGCUUUUUCCAUUGGAGUAUAUUUUUCUAAUUAACUGAGUAGAUUUUUUGUUUGUGGAAUGGAGAG